GGCGCUAUAGCCAAGUGGUUACGGCGACAGAUUCGAAUUGUUCUUAUCUGUUCCUCUUUGAGGGCGCAGGUUCAAAUCCUGCUGGCGUCG
rnacentral:tRNA from 1 species